rnacentral:rRNA from 1 species
CCUACGGGGUGCAGCAGUGGGGAAUAUUGGACAAUGGGCGAAAGCCUGAUCCAGCCAUGCCGCGUGUGUGAAGAAGGCCUUCGGGUUGUAAAGCACUUUCAGUGGGGAAGAAAGCCUUGGGGCUAAUACCCUCGAGGAAGGACAUCACCCACAGAAGAAGCACCGGCUAACUCCGCGCCAGCAGCCGCGGUAAUACGGAGGGUGCGAGCGUUAAUCGGAAUUACUGGGCGUAAAGCGCGCGUAGGCGGUCUGAUAAGCCGGUUGUGAAAGCCCCGGGCUCAACCUGGGAACGGCAUCCGGAACUGUCAGGCUAGAGUGCAGGAGAGGAAGGUAGAAUUCCCGGUGUAGCGGUGAAAUGCGUAGAGAUCGGGAGGAAUACCAGUGGCGAAGGCGGCCUUCUGGACUGACACUGACGCUGAGGUGCGAAAGCGUGGGUAGCAAACAGGAUUAGAUACCCGAGUAGUC